rnacentral:rRNA from 1 species
UCAGGCCUAACACAUGCAAGUCGAGCGGCAGCGGGAAAGUAGCUUGCUACUUUUGCCGGCGAGCGGCGGACGGGUGAGUAAUGCCUGGGAAAUUGCCCAGUCGAGGGGGAUAACAGUUGGAAACGACUGCUAAUACCGCAUACGCCCUACGGGGGAAAGCAGGGGACCUUCGGGCCUUGCGCGAUUGGAUAUGCCCAGGUGGGAUUAGCUAGUUGGUGAGGUAAUGGCUCACCAAGGCGACGAUCCCUAGCUGGUCUGAGAGGAUGAUCAGCCACACUGGAACUGAGACACGGUCCAGACUCCUACGGGAGGCAGCAGUGGGGAAUAUUGCACAAUGGGGGAAACCCUGAUGCAGCCAAGCCGCGUGUGUGAAGAAGGCCUUCGGGUUUAAAGCACAUGAGCGAGGAGGAAAGGUCAGUAGCUAAUAUCUG